UUUAUUAUUAAGUUUCCUCUAUUGUGUCCUAGUUAAGUUUCUUCUAAUAUGCUUCUCCUACCGUUCUUAUUAAUUUUUUUCAAUAUGUUUCUUAUCAGUUCUUCUACUAUGUUCCUUUGAGUUCCUCUACUGUGUUUCACAUAUUGUUCUUUUACUAUGUUGUUCAUGAGUUUCUGCUACUAAAAGACAUGUUAUCUCAGUUCCUUUCUGAGACCUCUGAACUGGUUUCAAGUAGUAUCUUUUACCCUAAUCACUUGUACUUUUGUCUCUACACUCGAUUAAUGGCAAGAACCCUAAAUUUGGG
rnacentral:lncRNA from 1 species